rnacentral:rRNA from 1 species
GGGGAAUUUUCCGCAAUGGGCGAAACCCUGACGGAGCAAGACCGCGUGGGGGAUGAAGGUUUGUGGAUUGUAAACCCCUUUUGAUUGGGAAGAAUACUGACGGUACCAAUCGAAUAAGCCUCGGCUAACUCCGUGCCAGCAGCCGCGGUAAUACGGAGGAGGCAAGCGUUAUCCGGAAUUAUUGGGCGUAAAGCGUCCGUAGGUGGUUUAGUAAGUCUGCUGUUAAAGCGCGGGGCUUAACUCCGUAUCGGCAGUGGAAACUACUAGACUAGAGUGUGGUAGGGGUAGAGGGAAUUCCCAGUGUAGCGGUGAAAUGCGUAGAUAUUGGGAAGAACACCGGUGGCGAAAGCGCUCUACUGGGCCAUAACUGACACUGAUGGACGAAAGCUAGGGGAGCGAAAGGGAUUANAUACCCCUGNUANUCAAUCACUAGUGAAUUCGCGGCCGCCUGCAGUC